CUCCUACGGGAGGCAGCAGUGGGGAAUAUUGGACAAUGGGGGCAACCCUGAUCCAGCCAUGCCGCGUGAGUGACGAAGGCCCUAGGGUUGUAAAGCUCUUUCAGCUGUGACGAUGAUGACGGUAGCAGCAGAAGAAGCCCCGGCUAACUCCGUGCCAGCAGCCGCGGUAAUACGGAGGGGGCUAGCGUUGUUCGGAAUUACUGGGCGUAAAGGGCGCGCAGGCGGCGAUAUCAGUCAGGCGUGAAAGCCCCGGGCUUAACCUGGGAACUGCGUUUGAUACUGUAUUGCUAGAGACCGGAAGAGGAUGGUGGAACUCCCAGUGUAGAGGUGAAAUUCGUAGAUAUUGGGAAGAACACCGGUGGCGAAGGCGGCCAUCUGGUCCGGAUCUGACGCUGAGGCGCGAAAGCGUGGGGAGCAAACAGGAUUAGAUACCCUGGUAGUCCACGCCGUAAACGAUGUGUGCUAGGUGUCGGGCAGCUUGCUGUUCGGUGCCGCAGUUAACGCGUUAAGCACACCGCCUGGGGAGUACGGCCGCAAGGUUAAAACUCAAAGGAAUUGACGG
rnacentral:rRNA from 1 species